rnacentral:misc_RNA from 1 species
UGAUGGUGACAAUUACCCUGAGACCCUAAACCGCAUGUUCAUCAUCAAUGGUGGUUCUGGUUUCAGGCUUCUAUGGAACACUGUUAAGUCAUUCCUUGACCCUAAGACUGCUUCCAAAAUCCAUGUCCUGGGUGGCAAAUAUCAGAGCAAGUUGCUUGAAAUAAUUGAUGCUAGUGAGCUGCCAGAGUUUUUGGGUGGUACUUGUACUUGUGCUGAUAAGGGUGGCUGUAUGCGCUCUGAUAAGGGUCCAUGGAAUGAUCCUGAAAUAAUGAAGAUGGUUCAAAAUGGUGUAGCCAAAUGCAAUAGGAGAACUUUGUCAGGAAUUGAAGAGAAGGCAAUAUCUGAAGAUGAGAAUGCAUGCACGAAGGUGUUUUGUCCUUACCAGAGUCGUACUUCAAUUUUCAUGGGUUCAGGGCCCUCUCAUUCUUUACAUUUUAAAUACACAAAUGCAAAUGCUUUUAAAACUUUACAAGUUUUUAUGCCAUUGAUUGAUUGCUUAACUUCCAAUUUUCCCCAUUUUUGCAUAACAAGAUGGAGAGAGGCGAUUCUUUGGUUGUAGAAACAGCUGUGGACUUUGAGCAUAAAAAAUAUCCAGGUCCUGAAAAAUUUCCUAUUAGCAAAAAGUGCAACAUUACCAACAACUGUAACACCAUUCCAAUGGUUGACAAGUCUGUAGAUGCUGCUUGGCCUACUACAAUGCAGAAGCAUGGAUACAACAUCUCUAAAGGCGAUGCUUGUAAGUCUGAUGGAAUAACCAAUCCAAUAAUUAGUGGGUUUUUCGCCUUUGUGAUGGGAAUCAUCACCAUGGUUCGCAUGACACGAAACAUGCCAAGAAAACUUACUGAAGCUGCUAUUUAUGGCAGUCAGGCUUACUAUGACAAUGGAAUGAUGAAAAACCAUGCAAUGCCAGCACCAUCCAUCUCUACCGUUGAAUACAAGAACAUGAUGAUGCGCAUGGCUGAAAUGGAAGAGAAGUUGAAUUUUCUCAUCUCAAGAGCUGGUGCUAUGCCUCCUGAGAAAGAGGAAAUGCUGAAUGCUGCUUUAAGACGCACUGAUGUCCUGGAGCAAGAGCUGUUAGCAACCAAGAAGGCACUUGAGGAUGCAACUGCUAAACAGCAGGAACUCCUAGAAUACAUUGAAAAGAAAAAGAAGAAGAAGAAGUAUUUUGUUUUUUGAAUGAAGAAUCCAUAACGCUAAGCGAGGUGAAAAGUGCUGGUUUUUCUGCAAUGCUCCAAACGAUCACUUGAGAACUUACUGAUACUGGAGGCAAUUAAUUAGAAAUCUUUGCCCCAUAUUUUGUUAUUAUUUAAAAUCAUUUUCAGCUUUGUGCAACUUUUGGUUUAUUUUUCAUAAUUGUGCAUGUUGGAAUGAUUAUUGACUUUGGUUGAUUUGAAUGGAGUGAUCUUUUCCAGUUGCUUUA